GCACACUAUAACCAUAUUUUGCCAGUCUCGAAUGUCGACUGUCUAUCUCACAUCCUCUCCGGCUUCCGCCUCUCGGCUCUCACUGUCUGUCUCGCCGUUUCACCUUUCGCAGCUCCGCGCCUCGGCCGACGGCCUCUCUCCCUAGUCCCUGCGACUCGGCGACUCUGUUCUUCAACUUUGACUGCUCGACCUCUCUUCUGAGUUCCGACUCCAGGUAAAUUUUCAUUCACUAUCAAGAUUCGAGUGCAUGACUGCAUGUUGUUUUGAUUAGUAGUUUAGACUAUGUUAUUCUUUGUACUCUUUUUUCUCUCUCUUAAAAACUGACUCAUAACUCAUAAGUCAUAGGGAUAGUGUAAGGAGAGAGGGAGAUCAGAGGGAGAGGGAGAGGGAGAGGGAGAGGGAGACAGAAUUAGAAAUUUGGUAUUGAAGUUUCACAGCUUUCAGGUGUGUUUAAGUUUAAUUUUCUACAUAUAUCUUCCAAUUUUCUUAACAACCAAAUGGUUUUUUUUUUCUAACUCUCUGUUUCAGUGUUUUGGGGAUUAAGUUUAUGGCAUUGGUUUAUGUUUGGUUGAGGAGAUAGUGUUGAAGAAAAGAAUUUGAAAUUAUUGGGCUUGAUGCUUGCAGAUUUAACAAUACAUUGCAUUUGAUUUUACUGAUAGAUUUUAUAUUAAAAAUUUUGGGGGACUUUUGGAUUUGUAUUCUUUAACUAUCAUCAUAAUUAUCAAGUGUAGUUUUAUAACUAAUGAAAUAUAUAAUUUCAAUUAUAAUGUUAAUAUUAAGUUUGUGGAAUGUUAACAAAAUUGUAUCUUUCUACUUCAUAAUUUCUCGUAGCUUUAGUUUAUUUGUUGCUUAAGAACUUGGAAAUUUGUAAUUUUUGAUUCAACAUGACUACACAAUUUAGUCGAGUUUAUUUGAUUUCCAGCAGUUCAGUUUAUUCAAUUUACUGUUGGAAUUUUGUGCUUUAUUUAUUUAUUUAUAUAUAUAUAGUUUCCUUCUCUCCAUAUUGUUUGCACUCUGCACCUUUCAAUAUGUUAGCUAACUAGCAUGUUAGCUGAUGCAAGCCUAAGUAUAUUUUUUUAAUGUGACGUUGUUCUUCUAUGGUGAAUUUUAAACAGUUUGAGCUGCAGAUUUUUUAAAGGUGUGAGCUGGUAUAUUAGGACCGACUGUUUAUUUGAUAUUGUUAUUGUGUUGGGAUGUGAUUUGCUCUCCCUUUCCUUUCCUUUCCUUUCUUUUUCCUUUUGGCUUUAAAUUACUUGAAUUUUGAAAAUUUUGGACAAGUAAAAUAUUCAAUUCUUAUGGAACAAAAAUUUGCUUGGUCAAAAUGAGAAAUGGAUUCUAGCAUAAUGAACGCUAUGGAAAAGCUAACAUGGCUAAUAUAAGAAUUUAAUCAGGAAGGUUCCUUCGUUGUCUACAUGACCAGCAGAAUUACAAAAUAGGUCUAAAAUAUGACUUGAUUUUCUAACUGUUGAUCAUAGCUAGGACUUUCACUACUGCCAGGAGGCCAAUGGUUGCAAGAAACUCUCACAAUUACCCCUAUGUAUCUAAUAAUAUUUAUCAUUAGGCUCACUAACCCAAUGCUAAUGAUGACCUCUUGCUUGUCUUGUAAUGGAGAUGAUAUAUUCCAUCCCAGAGUAAUAUUUGAAUUAGUGAUGAUCUGCUUUGUAAAAUCUAUUGAAGAAAAGAAAUGUUGAGUUGUUGUCUUACUAUCCUAAUCUUACAUAUAAUCUCCUUUUUGUGUCCAACUCAGAUUUGUGGUUUUAAAGAAACAGAUAAUGGGUGACAAUUUGCUGCUGUAUGGACCAAGUUUAUGAUUAGUACACCAUUAGUCACUGUUGGUGAAAAGUUCAGUUCCACAUCUUAAAUUGGUAUGAGUUAUUGUGACAAGAGAUGUCUGCCUUUCUUGUCCUUUAAAUGAAAGUGAGUAGAGAUGAAAAGAAAUUCACUAUCAUGAUCAUGUAACAUAGAGAGUAAUACAACUUUUUGAAAAAAGAAAAGAAAGUUACACUGUAUAUAUGUGCUCAAUAACCACAUCCUGUGACCAUUAUAUAUAGUGAAGCAUUGGUGCUGCUCUGCCAUCUUUAUUUCUUGCUAGAUUUUAUCACAUCAUGAGAAAACUCAUUUAUGCUAUUGUUGAUUCUCAUUUUUGUUCCUAUUAAAUUUUCUCUGAUAAGACCAGUUAUUCAAAACUGUUCCUAUUGACUAUGGUGUGUACAGCGUUUGCGUUGUCAUUAUCUAUCUGUUACAAUAUUUGAUUAUGAUCUUAAAAAAUCAUGUGUAUCAGUGUCUUUAAGCAGUAUUCACAUAGAAGAUCUAGUAAAUCAUUCUAUUACUUGUUUUUGUUGUUGUCUUACCAUGUAGAAGUAAGCCUCAGUUGUGCAUAAAUUUUCUCUCAUAUAGCUUGGCUGAAUUUUGAAAUUAUAUAUUGCAUUUAUUCAUUUACAACAAGGAAUUACAAACAAUCACCAGAUCACACUCAACAGUAUCAACUUGUGCUAGUCAAUCAGUAAAGUAAGCGAUUUACGGAUACAUGUUGCUGUUGACUCAAUGGAUAAAUGCUUGUUCAUGUUGUUGUUGUCUGUUGCACAACUGCUGGGUGCUAGCUGCUACCUGGUAGUAGAAUAAGUUCAUGUAGGGUGCUACCUGCUUUGUUAAGUCAUAAACUUUGUUAAGGUCUUAAGGACAGUUAAUUUGUUGGCUUGUUGCUGCUGUAUUUUUAAAUUUUAUGCUGGAUGUUGGAUGUUGGAUGUUGUUGUUAAGUUACUUUGCUGCUGGACAGUUAAUUUGUUGGACAUUUAACAAUUAAUUUGCUGCUGUAUUUGUUGGCUUGUUGCUGCUGUGUCAUAAACUUUAUGUUGGAUGUUGCUAGUUGUUUGUUGCAUGUCGGAUGUUGGAUGUUGGAUGUUGGAUGUUGGAUGUUGCUGUUAAGUUACUUUGUAAUUUGUUGUUGUAUUCUUAAUUUUAAAAAGAGCACAUGUUCGGUUAUUACCCGAAUACCCGAAUGUACAAUUCGAUAAUUCGGUAAUUCGGUUAGUUUUAAAUUUCGGUUAAUGUUUCGGAUAAUAGAAUUAUCGAUAAUUCGGUAUAUGGUUAUAACCGAAUAACCUAUUCGGUUCGGUUAUAACCGAAUGAUUACUCCUACUCAAAAUCACUAAGCCCGUAUUUGUUUACUAUAAUAACACUUGUGAUUAGAUUAUUAAUCUCAAGUUCUUUAUUUAUUUUUAAAAUUAGACUUAUUAAUUAGUCCCGUGAUAAUAAAAUAACUUUAAAUACCAAAUAUUAUAAUCCCACUACGAGGAAUUAAAAUUUUUUGGACAAAACCAACCUUUACUAUUUAUUUAUAAUAUGACUAAAAUUAUAAUCAAAUAAUGCUCGAUAUGCGUUACAGGGUUCUAAAGUGAGAUGCUCCCAUAUCAUAUGGGUCACACGUGAUCAAUUGCAUUUAUAUUGAAAAGGGAUAAGCAUUUGAAUUCUUAGUCAGCAUUUUUUUAAAAUAUUUAUUUCGUUCUAAAAUUAAGAUUAUUAAUUGAUAAAAAUUAAUUUAAAAUAAAAAAAUGUGGUAAUUUUAAAUUUAAAAAUAUUUUAAAUUUAUUUUUAAAAAUUAAUAAUAAUAUUAUAUGUUAGAACCAUAAUAGUAUCAUCUUAUCUGGCAUUUUAUUGUAGCUUUAUUAGUCAAGAUUCUCAAGUACUUUAAUUCGAAGAUUUUUAUGUAACCAAAUAAUGCUCGUGAGUUAUUACUGUUUGUUUAUUUUUUUAUUUUUGUCUAUUAAAUAUAAUAAAUAUAAAUAUGAACAUUGAAUACUGUAUUUGCAAAUGGAACUGCUUUGUAAAAUGUUUCUUAUUCCGUUUAUUUUAUUUAUGUUUAUUAUUAUUAUUAUUAUUAUUAUUAUUAUUAUUAUUAUUAUUAUUAUUAUUAUUAUUAUUAUUAUUAUUUUGUCUAUUAAAUAUAAUGAAUACAAUUUGAAUUGUUUGUCAAUUUUUUUAAUGUCCAAGCUAGUUAAAUUAUAAUUUAAAAUAUGUUAUUAUUGAUAAGGGUGUAAUAGUCCAAAUGAUAAAUUUUUUAUCCAAUCCUUUAAAUAAUUCUAAACAAAACAAACAUGAGAGUAAGAUUAUUAAAUCCUAAGAUUAAUAUUCUUGGAUUAUAAUCCCAGAUUAUAAUCUUUGCAAAUAAACAUAAUUGAACGCGUUAUAUAAAAUAGCUUAAUAAUCUUGACAUUAUAAUUAUAAUCUCGGAAUUAUAAUCUUAGUAUUAAUAAUCUUGGAAUUAUAAUCUUAUAAAUUUUAAUUAUGAGAUUAUAAUCUUUUCAAACAAACAUAGCUUAUGAAAAAUAAUUUAUAUGUUAAUUAAUUUUAUAUUUAAUGUGAUUGUAAUUAAUGUGAAUUUAUAAAUAAAAAAAUAAUGUGUUAAUCAUUUUUUUUAUUCUCUCCUAAUUCAUGUAUCACAUACGUGUAUUUAAUAUUUCACAUAAAUUUUUUACAUUAUGUGUUGUCGGGCAUAAACAAAUUAGAGUAAAGUUCAGAUAACCACUUGGGGUUUGGUCGCUUUCCCACUUAACCACCUGUAGUCAGUAAAGUUAUAUUUAAACUCUUGACUUUUUGAGUUGAAGUAAAAACGUCACUUUUUCCAUCCAACUUAACCGUGCGUGUAUGUCAGACGCCAAAAGCGCAUGAGAACAGGCUGUAACGGUCAAAAAUAACUGGUAAAUGUCUGAAAUACCCCUUUCUUCCUCUUGGCUUUUAAAAGACAAUCUGAAUCAUUUUGUUCUACCCCAUUUCAGCUCCAUCGCAGACGUGAUGUAGCAGACGAAAUUGAAAGCUACUAGCAGACCAAAUUCAGUUAGUAUACUUCUUAACUAAAGCUCCAAAAACCGUAGCACACAGUGAGAGAAGGAAAAGGAAUCCGGCUGGUAAAGGAGAAAGAUUUGAGCAACAACCAUUUGCAAUUUCUUAAGGUAAGUUUUCCAAUCCCCUUCCAUUCCUUUUUCAUUUCAUCCUUGUUAAGAAAAUGACUUUCAUGGCCUAAUGGUUGGGCAUGAACUUGAAGGACUGUUUGUCCUUUUAGUUGCUAUGUUGCUGCUGUAAGAUUUAGUUCACUGGUAUGCUACUGUUAUUUAUGGAAAUUAGACACAAGGAGAUAGGUUGGGCUCUGGAGUAAUAAGGAUGUUGUUAUGGGUUGUUAUUGUAAACAAUGGCUAUGAAAUUAGUAACCUAAAACUAUGCCUAUCAGUUGUUUGAUAAAAGUUCUAAAAGAACUAUUUUGACUAAAAAAUAUAUAUUAGACCAAAGUAAAGCUUGGGCUUGACUUUUUUAUCAUAUGUGGUGUUAAUUAGAAAAUUUGAAGGUAUUAGAUUAGAGCGAAAAGCAAAUUCAAGCUAAAACUAAUAUAUAUACAUUUAUGGUCUACUCUUUGAUAUUAUUUUUCGUGUUGUUUAUGUGAAUCAGGAGUCAUGUCUUCGUCAAACAAUGAUGUAGGAAGGAUGAAUGGUGACUUCCGCUACAUACCUAGGCGAUGUAAAUGUAGAAAAAAGUAAGUGUAAGAAUUUUUGACUCGAACAAACCAUCGAAUGGGAGGUUAUAUUUUGUAUGCGAUGAGUGUGAGUUUUGGGCAUGGUGCUUGCCUUCUACAACAAACUCAAGUGGAAUAGUCAAUGGCCCCAAUGAAGACAAUGACAUAAUGGGGACAAAAUGCAAGUGUUCAUGUGAGCUGAAUAACAUACCAAGUAGGAUGAUAGUUGUUGAAAAUAAUGUUAAGAUGAUAAUUGUUGUUGGACUUGUGUUGUAUUUUAUGUCAGUCAUGAUGUAUUUUAUUAGUAACAAAUGAAUGUAUAAACUAAAUGAAUGUAGUUUAGGAGACCAAUGGUAGCAGGCUUUUUUCUUCGUUAGACUUUAUGUUAUGGAUCCCUGGAAUUAGUUUUUCAUCUUUAAAUUAUUGGAUUGC
rnacentral:lncRNA from 1 species